rnacentral:rRNA from 1 species
UCGGGAGCUUGCACAGGUGCUGCAUGGCUGUCGUCAGCUCGUGUCGUGAGAUGUUCGGUUAAGUCCGCUAACGAGCGCAACCCUCACUGUGUGUUAUAUGUGUCACACGGGACUGCCGGUCUUAAGCCGGAGGAAGGUGGGGAUGAUGUCAAGUCAGCAUGGCCUUUAUAUCCUGGGCUACACACACGCUACAAUGGCCAACACAAUAGGUUGCUAAGCCGCGAGGUGGCGCCAAUCCAUAAAGUUGGUCUCAGUUCAGAUUGUAGGCUGCAACCCGCCUGCAUGAAGAUGGAGUUGCUAGUAACCGCAGGUCAGCUAUACUGCGGUGAAUACGUUCCCGGGGCUU